rnacentral:rRNA from 1 species
GACGAACGCCCGUUGUGUGCCUACUACAUGCAAGUCGAACGCUGCUUAAGAAGAAACUACGGUUUUUUCUUACCUGCAGUGGCGGACGGGUGAGUAACACCUGGGGAACCUAUCCAUCAGCGGGGGAUAACACUUGGAAACAGGUGCUAAUACCGCAUACGGCUUUUUUUCACCUGAAAGAAAGCUCAAAGGCGCUUUACAGCGUCACUGAUGGCUGGUCCCGCGGUGCAUUAGCCAGUUGGAGAGGUAACGGCUCACCAAAGCAACGAUGCAUAGCCGACCUGAGAGGGUGAUCGGCCACACUGGGACUGAGACACGGCCCAGACUCCUACGGGAGGCAGCAGUAGGGAAUCUUCGGCAAUGGACGCAAGUCUGACCGAGCAACGCCGCGUGAGUGAAGAAGGUUUUCGGAUCGUAAAGCUCUGUUGUCAGCAAAGAACAGGAGAAAGAGGAAAUGCUUUUUCCAUGACGGUAGCUGACCAGAAAGCCACGGCUAACUACGUGCCAGCAGCCGCGGUAAUACGUAGGUGGCAAGCGUUGUCCGGAUUUAUUGGGCGUAAAGCGAGCGCAGGCGGUGAUUUAAGUCUGAUGUGAAAGCCCCCAGCUCAACUGGGGAGGGUCAUUGGAAACUGGAUCACUUGAGUGCAGAAGAGGAGAGUGGAAUUCCAUGUGUAGCGGUGAAAUGCGUAGAUAUAUGGAGGAACACCAGUGGCGAAGGCGGCUCUCUGGUCUGUAACUGACGCUGAGGCUCGAAAGCGUGGGUAGCAAACAGGAUUAGAUACCCUGGUAGUCCACGCCGUAAACGAUGAGUGCUAAGUGUUGGAGGGUUUCCGCCCUUCAGUGCUGCAGUUAACGCAUUAAGCACUCCGCCUGGGGAGUACGACCGCAAGGUUGAAACUCAAAGGAAUUGACGGGGGCCCGCACAAGCGGUGGAGCAUGUGGU